CAAACUCUAACCUAUCUCUCUCACUUGAAACCAUAGAUAUAUAGACGCCGUCGAGAAAGCCAAAAUCCCAUUCUUCCCGGCGUUGGCAACGCCUCUAUCUGUUAGCGAAGGUGAAGGCAUCAACGGGGAUUGUGGGGCUGAAGGUGGUUCAGAACGGGGUAGGUGCUGAUUGGGCUAUAUGCUGAAGUGUAUCCAGAAGGGUCCCAAAGACGAAGGGUACUGCAUAUGGAAGCAUCUCAUUUCUACCAAUGCGAAGCUGCAAAAGGAUUAUGAAGAUUGAAAAAAGUAUGAAUUGAAUUAAAUAAAG
rnacentral:lncRNA from 1 species